AUUGAACGCUGGCGGCAGGCCUAACACAUGCAAGUCGAGCGGAUGAAGGGAGCUUGCUCCUGGAUUCAGCGGCGGACGGGCGAGUAAUGCCUAGGAAUCUGCCUGGUAGUGGGGGAUAACGUCCGGAAACGGGCGCUAAUACCGCAUACGUCCUGAGGCAGAAAGUGGGGGAUCUUCGGACCUUACGCUAUCGGAUGAGCCUAGGUCGGAUUAGCUAGUUGGUGGGGUAAAGGCCUACCAAGGCGACGAUCCGUAACUGGUCUGAGAGGAUGAUCAGUCACACUGGUACUGAGACACGGUCCAGACUCCUACGGGAGGCAGCAGUGGGGAAUAUUGGACAAUGGGCGAAAGCCUGAUCCAGCCAUGCCGCGUGUGUGAAGAAGGUCUUCGGAUUGUAAAGCACUUUUAGUUGGGAGGAAGGGCAGUAAGUUAAUACCUUGCUGUUUUGACGUUACCAGCAGAAUAAGCACCGGCUAACUACGUG
rnacentral:rRNA from 1 species